UUCCGGUGGAGUGAGUUGUCCCUUCGCAAUAAAUACCGGAGCUCGCGGCCCUGCGUCAGGCAUUCAGGCAGCGAGAGCAGAGGCGACUGGUGAGGCAGGAGACAGCCUGAGGAAUCCAGAUAAGUGUCUUUUUAAAAAGAUGAAGUAAUAAAAAGAAAUUAGAACUCUAAAGUUAGUUAAUAGAGUAGCUUCUCGAGAUAAUACUGUUAAUAUAAUUUAGGAUUUUAAGAGAAAAUAUGAAAGCUUAUUUAAACAGACUGAAAAAGGAAGAGAGAAGAAAAGUAUUUGUACAGUACGAUGGAGGCUGACCUGAAGCAUUUAUCUAGAUUAGUUUAGAAGAUUGUAAAGAGGUAUUAAGGAGUCCUAAAAGGUUCAAGUUUGAAGGUCAGCCUUGUAGAUUAAAAAGGUUACCUAAACAGAAUCUAAAUGGCACUUAACAAUAAAGCUGUAGAUAAUAGUUUGAAAACGAGGUGUAGUUUAAAAAGAUUUGAGAAAAAUAGGUUAAGGUGAAGGCCCUCGACUGGCGCAUGUUUGUUUGAAGGCACGAGUUGGAAACAGGGAAGAUAGAAGUGGUAGAUUAGUAUUCGGAGAAAGAAGAUUAGAAAAUGGAAGUGAAAAACGAAGAAGGCACAGGAAGGUGAAGAAAAGUAGAGAAGAUAGGGAAAUAGAAGACGAAGCAUCUGUAGAAGACAGAAAAGGUAUAAACUCACAGGUAGGAAGCUGAAGAAAACUAGAAGAUAGAAGCGAAGAUAGAAAAACCAAAAGGAAGUUCAGACAACUUUGGAUGCCAGCAUUCAAGAUAGGCACAGAAGAUCAGAUUGAGACCAAAAGGUUGGAUAAGAUAUAAAAUCUCAAAGUCAGAAGGAAGUUAUUUUUAAAGCCAUAAAUUCAAUUUUCUGGAGCAAGCAGCUUAGAAGUCUGUAGACAGCCGCUUUACAAGAGAAGCUAUCAAAGCUACUAGAACUGAAUUAAAAUUGAGGCAGAAUGCGUUUGAAGAGUUAGAAGAAUACUAAAAGCCUUGUAGCAUAUCUUUGUUUAUUUAACAAAAGAACUUUGAUAACAAUUUCAAGAUUGUCAGCAUUUUGCAUUGGACUUGAGCUGAGGUGCUUUAAAAAUCAUAAGGACUAGCAUUGGCAGCUGACCCAGGUCUACACAGAAGUGGAUUCAGUGAACCUAGGAAGACAGGAGCCCCCGAAGCCAGUUUGGUGAAGCUAGGAAGGACGGAGGAGCCAGCAGCAGCAGUGCAUGGUGAAGAUAGCCCAGGAAGCAGUGCGGCUCUGUGGAGGAAGCUAGGAAGAAGAGCCAUAACCAUGUGGUGGUGAAGCUAGGAGAGGAGUCCAGGAAGGUGGAGCCAGUGGAGGUGGUGAUGAAGCUAGCUGGCGGCUUGGCUUGUCAACUGCGCGGAGGAAGCGAGCAGGCGUUGUGGAGAGAAUAGAUAGCGGCUCCUAGACCAGCAUGCCAGUGUGCAAGAAAGGCUGCAGGGAGAGCAUGUGGUGCGGUAACAUUCCGUGAGGCUGGCAACAUGGUGGUGUUUUUCUGUAACUUGGAUGGUAACUUGUUUAUUUUGUCUUAAUAGUAAUGGGGGAGUUGUAGGCUUUGCGGGUGUUGUAGGUUUUUCUUUUUCAGGGUUAUGUCCUCUUGAAUCUUGUCUGAAGCUUUGAGGGCAGACUGCCAAGGCCCAGAAGAGUGGUAGAUGGCAAGUUGUCUUAUCCGAUUUGAGGGGAAUCAAUGGUAGAACCAGCACAAUCUCCCAGUUUUGUAAGAACUUGUAGUUUGUGGACAGCUGACCUACUGCAGGCUUCUCCAAGUCUCCUACUGUGUAGGGGAGGUAAUUGAUUGGGUAAAGUGCUUUUGGGGGUAUGGGGACAAAAUAUAUUUUGAGUUCUUUUCCCCUUAGGUCUGUCUAGAACCUAAAGGCAGAUGACUCAAGGGAACCAGAAAAAAGAAAAUCCAGUAUCAGGAUAAGCAGAACUCAACAGGUUUACAGUUUCUAGAAAUUAGAGGAUGAAUAGCUUUCAUACUGAGUGGAGGAGCUGUCCAUUGUCGGAAUGGCUGGUGGUUUAUUCUGUCCCCCUCCCUUAAUGAGACUUGUAAAAUUGCUAAUCUUUUAAACAUUUUUACUUGGAAUAUUUAUUUGGGUUUGGUCUUAACAGGGAGGAGUGGGUCGGGGGAAAUGUUUUUUUCUAAGAUUUUCCACAGAUGCUAUAGUUCUGUUGGCACACUGGGUUAGAGAAGGCGUGUACUGCUAUGCUGUUGGCACGACACCUUCAGGGACUGGAGCUGCCUUUUACCCUUGGAAGAGUUUGCCCAGUUGCUGCUGAAGUACAGCACAGUGCAGCUUUGGUUCACAGUCACCUCAGGAGAACCUCAGGAGCUAGGCCAGAUGGUGAAGUUAAGUUUUCAAGCAUCGUGACUUAAUAUUUAUUUCAUUAAAGGGGAGGGGCAAACUUAGUUGGAUGUGGCCUGUUGUGUUUGGGUGGGUGGGGGUGUUAGGUAAUUGUUUAGUUUAUGAUUUCAGAUAAUCAUACCAGAGAACUUAAAUAUUUGGAAAAACUGAGGAAAUCUCAGCUUUCAAGUUGGCAAGUAACUCCCAAUACAGUUUUUGCUUUCCUUUUUUUUCCCCUUUUUUUUUUUGAGUUGGGCAGUUGAAGAUGGCCUUGGGUCUUCCCACCAGUCUUGUGGGCAAGGAAAAUAAAUCACAACAGUUGUCUGUUCCCUUGAAAGUGUAGGGCUUGGGGGUUGGUCUGGUCCACUGGAAUGAAGUGAAAGCUACAGUGGGGAUUCUUUAGAAGCUACUGGAUAUAGAUUGUAGUGUGUGGUUCUCUUUUGACAUUUUUUUCAGGUGACUUAAUGUAUCUUAAUAACUACUAUAGGAACUUCAGAGCAAAGGAUGUGGCUUUAAUGAUCCUGAAGGGAUUUCUUCUGGUGAUAGCUUUUAUAUUAUCAAGUAAGAGAUUCCAUCUCAGUUUUGUAUAAGCAAGUCUUUUUCCUAGUGUAGGAGAAAUGGUUUUCCUUGUGACUAAACAAGAUGUAAAGGUAUGCUUUUUUUUUUUGUGCAUUGUAUACUUGUAUUUAUUUGUAACUUAUAUUAUUUUAAAAUUGUGAUAAUUCAGCCUGAAUAUCUCUUCGAGGGUGGGCUUUUGUUGAUGAGGGAGGGGAAACCUUUUUUUUUUCUGUAGACCUUUUUCAGAUAUCAUCUUGAGUCAUAACCAGCCUGGCAGUGUGAUGACAUAGAUGCAGAGGGAACAGCUCCUUGGUGAAUGAGGGAUAAGUAAAGGCAGAAAAGAUCAUGUCUCCAUGGGGAUGAGCAUGAGCCCGGGAUUGUUACUACUGAGGAAAAUCUGCAUAUGCAAAAAAAAUUAACCAAAUGAAAGCCACCGGUGUAAAAUUAUGGAAAUCUACCUUUAAAAGUUAAUGGCUUACCAAGCUUUAUUCACAAAAGUAAAGAAUUGAUGAAAAACAGUGAAGAUCAAAUGUUCAUCUCAAAACUGCUUUUACAAAAGCAGAAUAAAAAUGAAGUGAAAAUGCUACAUUAAUCCCGGAGUAAAAAGAAGCUGAUCUUAUUGAGAUGAGUGGGAUCGAGUGGCUUGAGGCGGUGCAGUGUGCCAAUCUUUCGUUUGCCUCAGACAGGUUUCUCUUCAUAAGCAGAAGAGUUGCUUCAUUUCAUCUCGGAGCAGGAAACAGCAGACUGCUGUUGACAGAUAAGUUUAACUUGAAUCUGCAGUAUUGCAUGUUAGGGAUAAAUAAGUGCUUUUUUUUUUUUUUUAAAUAAGAUCUGUGAAGAUAUUGAAUGUUUAACCCCUUAGGGCAGUUCAGGAUUGUGAGUAGUUUUCCAUCCAGCUUUUUAAAAAUUCUAAGCCUUGUGCCAGUGGGCUUUCAUGAGGGGAUAGUAACAGGCUUUUGCUUCCUAAAUUUCAUCACAAAAGCCUCAUACAUGAUUAGUGCCUGCCUUAAUUACAUUGUUUGCAAAAUUAAGGAAUCUUUUGAAUCUUGAGGACCCUAUGAAAGGGACAUAGCAUUCAUUAUGUGCUAAAAGUCAGAUGUUCAUGUUGCUAAAAUUUAUAUGUGCUCAAUGUACUUGUGCUUAAAAUCAUUAAGUCAUACAAAUUAAUAAAAAUACUUCACACUAGAGAAUGUAUGUAUUUAGAAGGCUGUCUCCUUAUUUAAAUAAAGUCUUAUUUGUUGUCUGUAGUUAGUGUUGGGCAAUUUUGGGGGGAAUGUUCUUCUCUAAUCUUUACAGAACUUGUCUUCGAACACUAAAAUGGACAAGAUCAGGACUUGAGCCAGAAGACCGAAAUUAACUUUCAGGCAGGAAAGACAAAUUUUAUUCUCCAUGCAGUGAUGAGAUGAGCAUUUAAUAUUGCAGGCCUGACAUAGAGGCCCUCUAACUAAGGCCUAAGUACCUUAGGCAGGUGGGAGAUGAUGGUCAGAGUAAAAGGUAACUACAUAUUUUGUUUCCAGAGAAAGUCAGGGGGUCUAAUUUGACCAUGGCUAAACACCUAGGGUAAGACUUUCAGACAUUUCCAAAUGUGCAUGUUGAGUUUAAAUGCUUACGACCAUCUCAUCCACGUCAGCCUUUCUGUCACCUCACGAGCUGGGUCGGGCAUGUGGGUUUUAAAGAGUUUUCCUUUGCAGAGGCCUCAUUUCAUCCUCAUGGAGCUGCUCAGGACUUUGGUUGCAUAUAAGCGCUUGCCUCUGUCUUCUGUUCUGCUAGUGAGUGUGUGAGACCUGCAGUGAGUUUGCUUUUCCUGGAAUUUGGAGGGAAGGGAGGAGGGGGAUGGGGCUUACUUGUUCUAGCUUUUUUUUACAGACCACACAGAAUGCAGGUGUCUUGACUUCAGGUUUUGUCUGUUCUUGGCAAGUAAUAUGUGCAGUACUGUUCCAAUCUGCUGCUAUUAGAAUGCAUUGUGACUCGACUGGAGUAUGAUUACAGUUGUUUGCCCAAAUGUUUGGAGUAGUGAUUGUUGGAGGAAAGCCCUGAGUCCUACAGGCUGAGUGUUGAGAAAGUGGCUCUGCAGCUUUAAGUAACAUGUGUUUGUGAUUAAAGCCACGCCCCUUUGCCGUGCUGCUUAGGUAAAUGUUUUUGUUCAUUUCUGGUGAAGGGGGGGAGGGAGCACUGAAGCCUUUAGUCUCUUCCAGAUUCAAGUUAAAAUCUGACAAGAAAUAAAUUCAGACAAGCAACAUUCUUGAAGAAAUUUUAACUGGCAAGUGGAAAUGUUUUUACAGUUCCAUGGUCGUUUAGUGCAUUGUCUUUGUGUAGGUGUUUCUCUCCCCUUCCUUGGUCUUAAUUCUUACAUACAGGAACAUUGAAAACAGCAGACAUCUAUUCGAGGGGCCAGAGAAGCCAGACCCAGUAAGGAAAACUAGCCCAUUUACUUUAAAUCAAUAAGUGAAGCAGACAUUCCAUUUUCAAUGUGGGGAUUGGGAAGCCCUAGUUCUUUCAGAUGUACUUCAGACUAUAGAAGGAGCUUCCGGUUGAAUUGAAUUCACCAGUGGACAAUGAUGACAACAGGUGAACGAGCCUUUUCUUGUUUAAGAUUAGCUACUGAUAAUUAGUAUUGAAUCCUCUUCAGCUUCAUGCUGGAGCAGCAGGCAUGUGAUGUAUUGUCGGCCUUGGGGUGGAGGGGUGAGGUGGGCGCUAAGCCUUUUUUUAAGAUUUUUCAGGUACCCCUCACUUAAAGGCACUGAAGGCUUAAUGUAGGACAGCGGAGCCUUCCUGUGUGGCAAGAGUCAAUCAAGCAAUUGUCAAGCAGUAUUGUAUCAAGACCAAAGCGGUAUCAUGGUUUCAAGUAUCAGUGAGGACUACCCUACCGCAACACCUUGCUGGAGUUGAAGCAUCCAAAGAAUACUUGAGGCCCUGGGCUUGUUUUAACAUCUGAAAAAAGCUGUUUUUAUAGCAGCCAUUACCAGCCCAAAUCUCAAGCUGUGCUUGCAGGGGAGGGAAAAGGGGGAAAGGGCAACCGCUUUUCCCUAGCUUUUCCAGAAUCCUGUUACAAGGUCUCCCCACAAGUGAUUUCUCUGCCACAUCGCCACCCCGUGCCUUUGGCCUAAUCACAGACCCUUCACCCCUCACCUUGAUGCAACCAGUAGCCGGAUCCUUGAGGUCAUGAUGCCUUACCGGUUUCAAGAUUAUGCCCAAUUCAUCUAUUACUGAAUCGACAUACCUCCUACUAUUAAAUACUUUGACUUUAUAAAAUAAAAACUAAAGAUCU